UACGUAGGGACCAAGCGUUGUUCGGAUUUACUGGGCGUAAAGGGCGCGUAGGCGGCAAUUCAAGUCAGCUGUGAAAUCCCCGGGCUUAACUCGGAACGGUCAGCUGAUACUGCUUUGCUAGAGUGCAGAAGGGGCAAUCGGAAUUCUUGGUGUAGCGGUGAAAUGCGUAGAUAUCAAGAGGAACACCUGAGGUGAAGACGGGUUGCUGGGCUGACACUGACGCUGAGGCGCGAAAGCGAGGGUAGCAAACGGG
rnacentral:rRNA from 1 species